rnacentral:tRNA from 1 species
AAGUGAUAAAUGGUUUACCAUACUUGUUUACGGGUCAAGGUGAGGUUCAUUUU